AAUAACAACCACCAUAAAAUCCAAUUAGCGUAAAAUGAUCUGCGUUUACACUAUGUUAUCAAUUGUUUGGUACUAGGCAUGUAUAUAGAUGAAGCAAACUGAAGGAUAUACUAUCAAAUGUGGAAAAGUUUUGUCAUCCGCAGUAGCUAAUUAGUAUUAAAAGGGAUGAUGAAUAGGAUAGCCCUGGAGAAAUUGAGCUAGAACAAAAACUUCCCAUUGAUAGUUCUCUUUGCUAAUGGCGUGAGAAGAGGGGGGGAUGCAUUAUGGUAACGUUUCAUUACCCCCAGCAACGACAUUGCCACUUAGUUACCAAGGUUUAAUAAGCUCUCAUGUUUCUUCUAUUUCAAGUAUCAUGAAAGGAGAUAUAAAAAAAGAUUAAAAACAACAAACGAUUCUUGGUAAAUACAUAAUAGAUCAUUCAGUCGUAAAAAUGUUGUGUGAUUCUCUUCUCAUGUCGAUAAAUUCAACCUUUGUAGAGUCUCUUUCUCAGAUGACUAGAAUUUUAAUGAGGCUGCCUAUUCUCUCAUUUUUUAUGAUUAUGGAGUGUUUGGUAAGUGGGGUUUAUGAUAAGCAAUACAAGCACUAUACCACGUUCUUCACAGAGAUUGUAUCUGAUACAUCGGAAUCAUUUUUUUUGUCAAUGCUGGAGAACAGAAUCCUCCUGGCAUUUGUCAGUAAAGAAACAAACCGCCUGUACCGGGGAAACAAACAAACAUGGGAGGUAAGCAAUGGUUUACACAGGGAUAAAGUAACCCCAGAGCAAAGCAAGAAAUACAGUCAUUCUGGAAACUGAGUAAUUUUCUGAAGUGUGUGAUUUAUCAAGCAGCCAUCAGUAGGCACGGUGGGAGAUUGGGGGGCAGGUGUCCAUCGGGGGAUGGAUAUACUUCUGUAAUCAUCAAUUCCACCAACUUGUCAUCAACUCACAUAGGUGUUCAAGCUUUCAAGAAUGCUAAAACAAACCUACCAAGAUAACACAAAAAGGGAUAUUGGUUUUUAUGCAUGCAUUUUUCUAUAAAACCAUCUUCUAUUUUUCCGCCUGUGAAAAAUGGUGAUCAAUCUUUGGAUUUAUAUAGUGUACCAUGUUUUCAUUGGAAUUCCGAUGUCAAUAAAUUAAAGGUGGAAAUAAUAUUCCAGGCCAGUGACGAGUAUUUCUCUCUAAUGGAAAAUGGUUUUUCGGGGAGGUGAGUAUCCAAUUUUUAUGAUAUAAAUAUUGAAUUCAAAUGAGAAUAAAAACCAGAGCCUAAUGGAUAUUACCUUGAAAAAAAAAAUUGUCGGCACCUCCAUUUGAAAAAAUCAAAAUGAAAGAAAAAAAUUUAAUGAAGAAUUGCUUUAGAAAUUUUUUGUCUGUCAAGUAUAAAUUGUCAGAAGCAAACAAGGGAUUUCCAUUGAAAGCCCAAUUGACAAUCAAUUUAUAUUAUAAUUUUUAGGAGACCGGUAUUGACAGAAGUAAUUUCAGCAAUCAUCAAAGUGGAGGAAUGGACUUGGCUUUAUUAUUUGUUGCCUCGGUUCAAACGCAUACAAGACUCUUUACAUCUGCUCUCCUGCUUACAAUAUCUAAACACUGUCAUUAUAUACAGCUUGCUAUUUCCCUCAUACUAUUCAAAAAAUAAAAAUGUGAUUAGACUGCGAACAUAAAAAAAAGUAAAAAGGCUUAAACAGUGAGAUAAAUCACAUUUUCAUAAAAAAAAGAACGCUGUUUGCUCAAUAACCAUCUUGAUAUAAAAGACCUUAUACACUUCAUAAGAAGGCAUGGGCAAUUUUGUUUCUGACAAGAAGGAAAAAAAAAUCCCUUUUUUUACGCAAAGUGUAACAAGCAUGCAAAGUUGUUAGAGUAAUGGGCACCUUUAACGUUUUCUGUUAUUAUCCUAGCAGGAAAUUAAUCAGCUAGGAUCAGCAUGCCAUCUCCACAAAGUCAUAAUGAAAUUGGAGGAAGGCUGGAAUUGUUGUGUUGGACAAAAAAAAAAUAAUUCUCUGUACGGUGUUGGGUACCAGUUCACAACAACAGCUUGUCUCCCCGAUUAUAUUGACUCUCACUAUGUUACAAUUCUGUGUUUACAUUUUCCUUGCCUUUUAUAUUUGUUAACGUGCUUCUAAUUGACAAUAUUGUGUGAUUAAAUGCAGUUACUGGUCUCUUUUUUCAGUGGGAAAAUAUACAAGUAUGGAGAUAUUAAACGACACUGUGUGUUUGAGGUAAGUGGCAUAGACCUCUCGUCAGGUAAAAAUUCUCCAUGUAAAUGACACUGUCAUAAAUUCUCUCCAAACCCCUAAUAUCAAAUUCUUAAUUCUCUCUAAAUUUUUCUUUUAAUUCUCCAAAGACAGACUGAUGUACCUAUAAAACCUAAACGUGCUUUUUUUAUUGACAAAAGCAAGUUCCAUUAAUUAACAGUUGAUGAAGAGAGGUCUAUUUACAGUAAAUGAGGGCUCUCUGUGCCAUAUCAUAUAUCUUUUGUCAUUAAAGCCGAAUGUCUUUUGACAGCCAAGCCUUUAAGUGUAGCUUGUCUUUGUACAUAAUGCCACCAUCAGAGGGCAAUUUCUUCCUUGCUUAGAUACUACACUUUAAUUAGUUGUGCUGGAUAAUUUGGAAACCAAGAUUUUAAGGGGGAGGCUUUUUGCUUUGUUUACAUCUGAAAAGACAUGAGAUUUUUUUCAAGUACAUGCAGAUAUAAUGUUUUUUCAACUCUGAAAUGUGUAAUCUGUAAUUGAAGGCGAGCAAGACAAGUUUUGUCUUCCAUGGAAAAAGGCUCUCCUUAAAGUGGCAAAAUUGAUUAGAUGCCUUUUUUUUCAUGUUAAAUUUUGACACAGAGCUCUAGCCCUGGUUAUACAGUGGCAGACAGGGUAUUUACAUUUAGAUAAACUUGUGUAAUUGCUUGUUUGUGUUUCCAGAGCCUUGUUAUGUGAUGGAUAUACCCUGUUAAAAACUCCAUUCCCACCGACCAAAAAAAAAAUUUGGCUUAAGAUCUUGUGAAGUCCUUGUCUUUUACUUAGAUGCAAUGGUCAAAGUAAACUUGUGAGAACCGACAAAAACCUUGUGUGUUUUCCAUUUACAUUUAGAUUUGGUCAACAAACUAGCCUUUGAACAGAGAAUUCCAGUGUAAUCAAAUGUUUUAUCUCUGGAUAUGAAAUUGGAAUUAUCUCCCCUGGCAGUCAGCUUUGGCUGGUCCCUAUCUUGACUAGUUCCUAGUGGAUGAGAAAGCAGGUGAAGAAAUGCAAUUUAUUUGUCAGGGAUUAUACAGGACUUCAAAAUCUCCAAUUGGUUGGCUAAUGGAUAUAACCUGUGAUGGUUUAGAUGGUCCUAAUUGCUUCUAAUGGGCUUGUGGUGUUGCUAAAGCUUACAGCAUGUGGGAAUCACACAACUAAGAGACAUGAACACACAACACCAGAGUCGAUUCAAAGAUGGAUUAAAAAUGAACAUCAGAUUAAAAUCUUAGUUUAUAUGUGACUUGGAUUGUGGGAGAGAGAGAGGAAAUUUACCAUCUGCACCUCUAGGAUAGUUAAGAGAAAACUGCUAAAUCCAUUAUGCGGCUCUGGUCAAGAGUGUUUCCUAGGCAACAGCAAUUCUGAAGAGAAAUAUGGAUGGUGCUUGGAAACCAGGGAUUACAAUAUUUCUGUUUUCACUCAGGCUCAGCCCAGAGAAACCCCAGCACGCCAAAGGAUUAAUUAUGUUCUGCUUUACUGACAAGGCUGACAUGAAUAUUUCAGCAAUUAUCCACCAAACUGAUCAGAGAAGACAAAAGCCAUAGAAGAGACAUCCAAGCCAAACGGACCCAUUCCAUGCUGACAAAACAUCCCAUCUUUUUGUGUUUUGGGGAAGGGGCCUGAAUAAGAUUCACAACUGGCAAUACUAGGUCUAGUGAGUGGCUCAUUAAGUUUAUUGGCGUGAAGAAGGCUUGAUUUCAAUUCAUCAAGAUCCCUGAGCAGGCUUUCAUCAAAUUUACCAUGAAAUUUAAUGAAAAAAUGCAUUCCUUUGAGAGAGCAAUGCGAUACUCUACAUUUUGGAUUAUGUGAACAAGAAAUCAUCUAUAAUCAUACACCCUUGUCAAAGGCGAAACCACUAGAUGUUAUCUACACAAGCAGUGAGAAGAAACACCAUUUCAGAAGUGUACGAUUUCGGGAAAAUGUGUGAUAUAUUUUGGAAUUAAGCAAAGAGUGAUUAUGCAAUGGAAAUAAAGUUUAAACAUGAGGAGGAUUUUAAACCAUGAGAGUACAAAAAAGACUUAAUCGUUCUCAACAGCAUUCAAUUACUGGAGCUAAAAGAGAUGACUUCACAGACUUGUGAUCACAAAUCAAAAGGAAUUCAGGCCACUUUCCUGAUACGAGGAAAAAACCCUGGUGGCAUUGGCCCCCCAGGAAUUCCAUCCUGAGGAUUCAUUUGACCUAAUGGACUAGGUGCUGCUGCAUUCUGGAAAGAAACAAAGAAGAAAUAAAUGAUCAGAACAGGCAAAUAAUUUCUCAAUGAAUUUUGACAAUAAUUGCAAAUUUAUCUAAUUCCACAUGCCUCAUGUUCCACAUUUGGAUAAGACAGAACCGAAAUGUCCUUGUUCUUUUUUUCAAAGUAUAUAUGCAAUGUAUUUUUUUUUUGAAGGAUAUAUGCAAUGUAUAUAAAGACCUAGGUAAAGAAACUGUGAAUAAGGGCAGACUUCCAUAGUUUUUGACAAAUUAUGAAAUUAAAAGUACUUUUCAUA